CCAGGUGUUCCAUGCGGAUAAGUUAUUUCGGGGGAAUACCUGGCGUCCAUGAGUCCCAUAGUAGGUCUCUAGUUGGUUGCGAUAGUCCCUUGACAUACCAGUCUCCCCUGGAAGACACCAAUCUACCAACUCCAGAUGCUCCUGCAUUCUCAAUGGAUGAUGUUCUCCUUUUGGAUCCGCCCGAAGGCAAGUUAAAACGGAAGGAGCAGAGGAUGAUCCUGAUUAAGGACAACCCUUCUGGGUGUCACGCUUGCCUCCUUUACCGCAGUAAUGAGUACUAUCGAAGUCUUCGCUAUUCUGAUCCCAAUUUCAUAGGUGUGUCCGUAUCUCAGGCAGUGAGCUUUUCAGCCACUGUCUGGCCUGGUAGUGAAGCAGUCCUGGGAAAUAGUCAAAGGGUUAUGGUGCCUUUCCGCCGUACCUGUCGAAUUUCCUUACGAAUCGUCGCUAUCAAUGAUGUGGGAAGGUGUAAUCCGCCCAAGGUGGAAUCUAUUCUGAAAUAGAGGAACUGAAUCACUCGGAACUGGGAUCGAACCAACUCCUCUCUGUUCACUAUGAAUCCCAACAAUUCCCGAAACUGUAAACAUAAAUCUCGUUUGUAAACGUAGUCAUGAAUUGGAUUUGCAAAAGUCGUCUAGGUAUGUGACAGCAGAUACCCUUUGCUUUUCAGUGCGCAGUGACCGACUUCAGAAACUUCAUGAGGCACCAUGUGAACCUAUAGGUAAGUGCCCUUCAAGUCCAACCUUGUAGAUCCCCUAAGAGAUGGAUACCUUCCUUCUUGAGUUGUCGGUACGCCCCAAAACCAUUGGGUUGGCAUAGGUUGAUGACUGGGUGAUAGUCUCCUAUCUUCUUCCUUACUACCAAACCGUUGCUGAGAUAAAUGGUUCUCCAAAUGAUAGUCCGUCUGCCUGAGGUCCUCGCUCUUUCGUCC